rnacentral:misc_RNA from 1 species
AGGACACCUGAUGCUUGCGAGGUUUGUCCACGGUGCUAAUUUCAGUUCUACAUGAACGUGAGGGGAAAAGCUUGGAGAUGGCUGACUUUUUCGCUAGUCAAUUUACCCAAUGAGCCAAAAGAGCGCGACGAUGCCUAUGAUGCAACUUGUAUGUUCAUACGCGCGUGCAUGGAGCGUUUUCUACACUACUCCAAUUUAAUGGCGCGUGAUAGAGAA